CGCGAAACCUUUACACUGCACGACAGUGCGAUAAGGGAAUCCCAAGUGCACGGGCAUAGAGCCUGUGCUUUUCUGAACCGUAGGGAGGUUCAGGAACAAGGGCUGGGCAAGACCGGUGCCAGCCGCCGCGGUAAUACCGGCAGCCCAAGUGAUGGCCGAUUUUAUUGGGCCUAAAGCGUCCGUAGCUGGCCGCGCAAGUCUAUCGGGAAAUCUAUCCGCUCAACGGAUAGACGCCCGGUGGAAACUGCGUGGCUUGGGACCGGAAGGCGCGAAGGGUACGUCCGGGGUAGGAGUGAAAUCCUGUAAUCCUGGACGGACCGCCGAUGGCGAAAGCACUUCGCGAGGACGGAUCCGACAGUGAGGGACGAAAGCUAGGGUCUCGAACCGGAUUAGAUACCCGGGUAGUCCUAGCCGUAAACGAUGCCUGUUAGGGUGUGGCUCCCACUACGAGUGGGUGCUGUGCCGUAAGGAAGCCGCUAAACAGGCCGCCUGGGAAGUACGUCCGCAAGGAUGAAACUUAAAGGAAUUGGCGGGGGAGCACUACAACCGGAGGAGCCUGCGG
rnacentral:rRNA from 1 species